rnacentral:rRNA from 1 species
GACGAACGCUGGCGGCGUGCUUAACACAUGCAAGUCGAACGGAAAGGCCCUGCUUUUGUGGGGUGCUCGAGUGGCGAACGGGUGAGUAACACGUGAGUAACCUGCCCUUGACUUUGGGAUAACUUCAGGAAACUGGGGCUAAUACCGGAUAGGAGCUCCUGCUGCAUGGUGGGGGUUGGAAAGUUUCGGCGGUUGGGGAUGGACUCGCGGCUUAUCAGCUUGUUGGUGGGGUAGUGGCUUACCAAGGCUUUGACGGGUAGCCGGCCUGAGAGGGUGACCGGCCACAUUGGGACUGAGAUACGGCCUAGACUCCUACGGGAGGCAGCAGUGGGGAAUAUUGCACAAUGGGCGGAAGCCUGAUGCAGCAACGCCGCGUGCGGGAUGACGGCCUUCGGGUUGUAAACCGCUUUCGCCUGUGACGAAGCGUGAGUGACGGUAAUGGGCAAAGAAGCACCGGCUAACUACGUG